rnacentral:rRNA from 1 species
GACGAACGCUGGCGGCGUGCCUAACACAUGCAAGUCAACUUGACUGAAGGAGCAAUCUGACAGUAGAGUGGCGCUAGGGUGCGUAACGCGUAAGUAACUUGCCCCAAGGUAAGGAAUAACGUCGAGAAAUCGGCGCUAAUACCUCAUAAUGCAGCGGAUCCGCAUGGAUAUGUUGUUAAAGGUUUACCGCCUUGGGAUAGGCUUGCGUCUGAUUAGUUAGUUGGUGUGGUAACGGCACACCAAGGCUACGAUCAGUAACUGGUCUGAGAGGAUGAUCAGUCACACUGGAACUGAGACACGGUCCGGACUCCUACGGGAGGCAGCAGUGAGGAAUAUUGGGCAAUGCUCGAAAGAGUGACCCAGCAACGCCGCGUGGAGGAUGAAGGUAUUCUAUAUCGUAAACUCCUGUGAGAGCAGACGAAAGACAGAUUAUAAUCUGGAUGACUGUAUGCUCAGAGGAAGCCCCGGCUAAC